rnacentral:rRNA from 1 species
UUUUCGACCUGAACUCAGACGUGAAUAC